UACGGGAGGCAGCAGUGGGGAAUAUUGCACAAUGGGCGAAAGCCUGAUGCAGCUAUGCCGCGUGUAUGAAGAAGGCCUUAGGGUUGUAAAGUACUUUCAUCGGGGAGGAAAAACAAAACUAAUAAUUUUAUUUCUUGACGUUACCCGAAAAAGAAGCACCGGCUAACUCCGUGCCAGCAGCCGCGGUAAUACGGAGGGUGCUAGCGUUAAUCAGAAUUACUGGGCGUAAAGAGCACGUAGGUGGUUUUUUUAAGUCAGAUGUGAAAUCCCUGGGCUUAACCUGGAACUGCAUUUUUGAAACUGAAAUACUAGAGUAUCGUAGAGGGAGGUAGAAUUCUAGGUGUAGCGGUGAAAUGCGUAGAUAUCUGGAGGAAUACCUGUGGCGAAAGCGGCCUCCUAAACGAAUACUGACACUGAGGUGCGAAAGCGUGGGGAGCAAACAGGGAUUAGAUACC
rnacentral:rRNA from 1 species